rnacentral:rRNA from 1 species
AGCGAACGCUGGCGGCAGGCCUAACACAUACAAGUCGAACGAACCCUUCGGGGUUAGUGGCGGACGGGUGAGUAACACGUGGGAACGUGCCUUUAGGUUCGGAAUAACUCAGGGAAACUUGUGCUAAUACCGAAUGUGCCCUUCGGGGGGAAAGAUUUAUCGCCUUUAGAGCGGCCCGCGUCUGAUUAGCUAGUUGGUGAGGUAAUGGCUCACCAAGGCUACGAUCAGUAGCUGGUCUGAGAGGAUGACCAGCCACAUUGGGACUGAGACACGGCCCAAACUCCUACGGGAGGCAGCAGUGGGGAAUCUUGCGCAAUGGGCGAAAGCCUGACCCAGCCAUGCCGCGCGGAUGAUGAAGGUCUUAGGACUGUAAAAUCCUUUCACCGGUGAAGAUAAUGACUGUAGCCGGAGAAGAAGCCCCGGCUAACUUCGUGCCAGCCGCCGCAGUAAGAC